rnacentral:lncRNA from 1 species
UGGUGGACAGUGUGAAUGAUGAUGCUUUCUCUGAGAUAGGGAGGGGAAUGAGUGACUAUAAUACCUGAGAAAAUUUCUAUUAAUAAAAUUAAAGAAAUAGCAUAUAUGAGAAAUUCAGAGAUACACAGGAAGACUUAAAUGAACUGUCAGAGAACAAGAUGACUUUCUAAGUCACUAACUAUAGGGGAUAAAGACAGUGCCCUAGGAAAGUAUUCCAACGUGAUAUACCCUACAGAUAAUGCUAACUUUUGGAGAUCUUUCUCUAUUUUCAAGGGUCAUCAAAAUACAAAGGCAAGACAAAAGUCAGAAUAAAUGUGAUGGUCUGGGAUGCAGUGGAUGACUUUGGCUUCUUCAAAAUCUAACCCAGAUCCAUGUGCUCUAUAGCU